rnacentral:pre_miRNA from 1 species
ACCAGAGGCAAGCCCAGCCACCGGCAAGGCUCGGCAUCGCCAGAUCUGGUGAGGCUGAGCCUCGCUGGUGGCUAAGCGGGCCUCGCUA